rnacentral:rRNA from 1 species
GACGAACGCUGGCGGCGUGCCUAAUACAUGCAAGUAGAACGCUGAAGAGAGGAGCUUGCUCUUCUUGGAUGAGUUGCGAACGGGUGAGUAACGCGUAGGUAACCUGCCUUGUAGCGGGGGAUAACUAUUGGAAACGAUAGCUAAUACCGCAUAACAAUGGAUGACACAUGUCAUUUAUUUGAAAGGGGCAAUUGCUCCACUACAAGAUGGACCUGCGUUGUAUUAGCUAGUAGGUGAGGUAAUGGCUCACCUAGGCGACGAUACAUAGCCGACCUGAGAGGGUGAUCGGCCACACUGGGACUGAGACACGGCCCAGACUCCUACGGGAGGCAGCAGUAGGGAAUCUUCGGCAAUGGGGGCAACCCUGACCGGGCAACGCCGCGUGAGUGAAGAAGGUUUUCGGAUCGUAAAGCUCGGUUGUAAGUCAAGAACGGGUGUGAGAGUGGAAAGUUCACACUGUGACGGUAGCUUACCAGAAAGGGACGGCUAACUACGUG